AUUGAACGCUGGCGGCAGGCCUAACACAUGCAAGUCGAGCGGAUGACGGGAGCUUGCUCCUUGAUUCAGCGGCGGACGGGUGAGUAAUGCCUAGGAAUCUGCCUGGUAGUGGGGGACAACGUUUCGAAAGGAACGCUAAUACCGCAUACGUCCUACGGGAGAAAGCAGGGGACCUUCGGGCCUUGCGCUAUCAGAUGAGCCUAGGUCGGAUUAGCUUGUUGGUGAGGUAAUGGCUCACCAAGGCGACGAUCCGUACUGGUCUGAGAGGAUGAUCAGUCACACUGGAACUGAGACACGGUCCAGACUCCUACGGGAGGCAGCAGUGGGGAAUAUUGGACAAUGGGCGAAAGCCUGAUCCAGCCAUGCCGCGUGUGUGAAGAAGGUCUUCGGAUUGUAAAGCACUUUAAGUUGGGAGGAAGGGUUGUAGAUUAAUACUCUGCAAUUUUGACGUUACCGACAGAAUAAGCACCGGCUAACUCUGUG
rnacentral:rRNA from 1 species